UCCCUCUUAGCUCAGUGGUAGAGCGCGUCACUAGUAUACAUAUCUUGUAUAUGACGAGGUCAGUCGUUCAAGUCGGCUAGCGGGAA
rnacentral:tRNA from 1 species